rnacentral:rRNA from 1 species
CCUACGGGAGGCAGCAGUGGGGAAUAUUGCACAAUGGGCGAAAGCCUGAUGCAGCAACGCCGCGUGAGCGAUGAAGGCCUUCGGGUCGUAAAGCUCUGUCCUCAAGGAAGAUAAUGACGGUACUUGAGGAGGAAGCCCUGGCAAACUACGUGCCAGCAGCCGCGGCAAUACGUCGGGGGCUAGCGGUAUCCGGAAUUACUGGGCGAAAAGGGUGCGGAGGUGGUUUCUUAAGUCAGAGGUGAAAGGCUACGGCUCAACCGUAGUAAGCCUUUGAAACUGGGGAACUUGAGUGCAGGAGAGGAGAGUAGAAUUCCUAGUGUAGCGGUGAAAUGCGUAGAUAUUAGGAGGAACACCAGUAGCGAAGGCGGCUCUCUGGACUGUAACUGACACUGAGGCACGAAAGCGUGGGUAGCAAACAGGAUUAGAUACCCCAGUAGUC